CCUACGGGUGGCAGCAGUGAGGAAUAUUGGUCAAUGGGCGGGAGCCUGAACCAGCCAAGCCGCGUGAGGGAAGAGGGUACAGCGUAUCGUAAACCUCUUUUGUCAGGGAACAAAGGCGGGGACUAGUCCCCGGAUGAGGGUACCUGAAGAAAAAGCAUCGGCUAACUCCGUGCCAGCAGCCGCGGUAAUACGGAGGAUGCGAGCGUUAUCCGGAUUUAUUGGGUUUAAAGGGUGCGCAGGCGGCCUGUUAAGUCAGCGGUCAAAUUGCGGGGCUCAACCCCGUACUGCCGUUGAAACUGCAUCCCUUGAGUGCGCGAGAAGUAUGCGGAAUGCGUGGUGUAGCGGUGAAAUGCAUAGAUAUCACGCAGAACUCCGAUUGCGAAGGCAGCAUACCGGCGCGCAACUGACGCUCAUGCACGAAAGCGUGGGUAUCGAACAGGAUUAGAUACCCUAGUAGUC
rnacentral:rRNA from 1 species